ensembl:lncRNA
UUCCGGGUGGGGAUUGAGGAAUUCCAGGGUUUUUCCUGUGGAAUCCCAGGGCUGGGAUUGAGGAAUUCCGGGGUUUUUCUCGUGGAAUUCCGGGUGGGGACUGAGGAACUCUGGGUGGGGACUGAGGAAUUCCAGGGCUUUUCCUGUGGAAUUCCGGGUGGGGAUUGAGGAAUUCUGGGGUUUUUCUCAUGGAAUUCCGGGUGGGGACUGAGGAACUCUGGGUGGGGAUUAGGGGAAUUCCGGGGCUUUUCCCGUGGAAUUCCGGGUGGGGAUUGAGGAACUCUGGGUGGGGAUUGAGGAACUCUGGGUGGGGAUUAGGGGAAUUCCGGGGCUUUUCCCGUGGAAUUCCGGGUGGGGACUGAGGAAUUCCAGGCUUUCCCCACAGUACGAGGUCGCCACAGUGACGGAGAAGGGCGUGGAGCUGGAGGGGCCCCUGACCCUGGAGGCCAACUGGGACAUCGCCCACGUGGUCAGAGGUUUCGAGUGAUCUCCAGGAGCUGCUCCGGCCUUGUCAAAUCCCCGUUUUUAUCCCAUCCCUUCCUUCCCUCUGGAACGGCAAAUCUGGCGUUUUUUGGGAAUAAAACAGAUCAUUUGAGACCAAUCUGUGUUUGUUCUUUGGGAACUCUCAAAAAACCCUGGGAAUUCUCCUCGAAAACGCAGAUUUCGGGAAGUUCUGGAAUUCUGGGUAGAUGCUGUGGCCCCAGAUCGAUUUUUACCGAAAUUGUGGAAUUUCUGAGGUGGGAAAAGCCCUUCUGGGAUGGAGCCCAGGAAUCCCUAAACCCCGUCCACAAUUUUGGGGCAUUCCAUGGGAUUUUUCCUCAAAAUCCCAAACCCGGAGGGAUUUCGAGGCCACAAAAAUCCAAUUAAAAUGGAAUUUUUCCCCUCCCCCUUCCCAAAAUUCCUCCGGCAGCAUUUUCCCAACUUUUCCUUAAAAGAAGCCAGGAAUUCUCCACGGAAAAAACCAAUUAAUUAAAUCCAGGAUUUUCCCACCCAAAUCCCAUGGGAAUGAAGGAAUUUUUUCCACAAUAAAACCACUCUUUAUUUAUAAAUCCAUUUCCCUGCUUUUAUUCCACAUUUUCCACUCCUGUACAAUUCCAUGAUGAUCCAUAUUUUUUUUUUUUAGUUUUAAAUUUCAUUUAUUUUGAUUUUUUUUUAAACUUUUUUUUCCUGUUUUCCUUCCGGGAAAAAAACCCCCCAAAAAAACUCCACAAAUCUUAUGGAAAAACAGGUGCCAGGUGCCUCUGGAAUUUGGGAAUUCCAAGAAUUUUUAAAAUUAAAAAAAAAAAAAACCAUGCAAAUUCCGGUAAAAAAUCGGAGCUGGCAGUGAAAAAUCAACCCAAAAUCUUUUUUUUUCAUGGAUUUUUUUGGGUUUUUCGUCACAGUUUUAGUCACAAAUCCCAGAUUUUUCGACCCUAAGGAAGGUGGAGUUUUCCAGGAUGGUUAUUUUUUAAAUAAAGUUGAUAAUUAACAAUCCAAAAGGGGGAAGUCCAAGGAGAAGUUGGGGUUUUCCGCCCCUCCAAUGGGAAGUUUUUGGGGAGAAAUUGGGAAAAUUGAGUUCGGGGCAGGAAAAGCAGCGCCAAUCCCAAAAACUGUUGGCGUGGAAUGGUGGCUCCACAAUUCCCGAGCCAAAUUCCCUCAGAACUCCCUAAAAUUCCACCAAAAUUCCAUCCAAAUUCCCAAUUUCCAUUAAAAAACCCCAGAGUAACUGAAUCUUCGCAGCCAAUCUGAAGGAGUUUUCUGUAAGAAACAGGGAUUCUCUGGGUUAAAUUCCAAACAAAAGUCAAGAAAAAAAGAAAGAAAAAUUCCCCCAAUUUUUUGGGAGUUAAAUCCAGGGACUUUUUGUCUUCUUGGAAAAAAACCCGGGCACGAACGACGUCAAAUUCCCACCGCUAAAAACCAGGAAUUAUGGUACAAGUGAGGUAAAGAAAAUUCCCAAAAAAUAUCCACCCACGAGAGAGAAUUCCAAGGAAAUACCAACACAGUGAAUCCAAGGUUUGGUGUUCUUUUUUUUUUUUCCAUUUUUUUUUUUAUAUUAAAAAAAAAAAAAGAAAAAAAGUCACGAAAAUCCUUCCAAAAAAUCGGCGGAAACGGCAAAUCCGGAAAAAUCCCAGAAAUCUGCUGGGAACUGGGAUCUCAUCU